CGUGAAAUUGUUGAAAGGGAAACGAUUGAAGUCAGUCGUACCGACGAGAAAUCAACUUAUUGUGUGCGAACUUGUGGGCGUGCGUGAGUUUCGGCCUCGCUGUUUGCAUGUUUGUGCGUUUUGGGUGCACUUUUUCGUAUGGUAGGCCAACGUCAGUUUCGAUUACUAUAAAAUGACCGGCGGAAUGUAGCUUCGAUCUCGGUUGAAGUGUUAUAGCCUCUGGUAGAUGUAGUGAUUGGGACUGAGGAUUG
rnacentral:rRNA from 1 species